GUGGGGAAUCUUGCGCAAUGGGCGAAAGCCUGACGCAGCCAUGCCGCGUGAAUGAUGAAGGUCUUAGGAUUGUAAAAUUCUUUCACCGGGGACGAUAAUGACGGUACCCGGAGAAGAAGCUCCGGCUAACUUCGUGCCAGCAGCCGCGGUAAUACGAAGGGGGCUAGCGUUGCUCGGAAUUACUGGGCGUAAAGGGCGCGUAGGCGGACAGCUUAGUCAGAGGUGAAAGCCCAGGGCUCAACCUUGGAAUUGCCUUUGAUACUGGCUGUCUUGAGUUUGGGAGAGGUGAGUGGAACUCCGAGUGUAUAGGUGAAAUUCGUAGAUAUUCGGAAGAACACCAGUGGCGAAGGCGACUCACUGGCUCAAUACUGACGCUGAGGCGCGAAAGCGUGGGGAGCAAACAGGAUUAGAUGCCCUGGUAGUCC
rnacentral:rRNA from 1 species